ACACGACUACAUUAGAUACCCCUGUAGUCCCAGCCCUAAACGAUGCGCGUUAGGUGUAUCGGUGACCACGAGUCACCGAGGUGCCGAAGGGAAACCGUGAAACGUGCCGCCUGGGAAGUACGGUCGCAAGGCUGAAACUUAAAGGAAUUGGCGGGGGAGCACCACAACGGGUGGAGCUUGCGGUUUAAUUGGAUUCAACGCCGGAAAUCUUACCGGGACCGACAGCAACAUGAAGGCCAGGCUGAAGACUUUGCCGGAUUAGCUG
rnacentral:rRNA from 1 species